UAGGGAAUCUUCGGCAAUGGACGAAAGUCUGACCGAGCAACGCCGCGUGAAUGAUGAAGGCCUUCGGGUUGUAAACUGCUUUAGACAGGGAAGAAACAAGACAGUACCUGUAGAAUAAGCUCCGGCUAACUACGUGCCAGCAGCCGCGGUAAUACGUAGGGAGCAAGCGUUAUCCGGAUUUAUUGGGUGUAAAGGGUGCGUAGACGGGAGUCUAAGUUAGUUGUGAAAUCCCUCGGCUUAACCGAGGAACUGCAACUAAAACUGGAUUUCUUGAGUGCGGGAGAGGAAAGUGGAAUUCCUAGUGUAGCGGUGAAAUGCGUAGAUAUUAGGAGGAACACCAGUGGCGAAGGCGACUUUCUGGACCGUAACUGACGUUGAGGCACGAAAGUGUGGGGAGCAAACA
rnacentral:rRNA from 1 species